rnacentral:misc_RNA from 1 species
GGCUUGAAGUCUCCACUUUCUUUCAAUGAGGUCAUAUAUGCUCUUCCCAUGCUGACCAUUUUGACUGACAAAGGCACUGGCAUUGUGACCAGUGUACCUAGUGAUGCCCCUGAUGACUAUAUGGCAUUGCAUGAUUUGAAAGUAAAACCAGCUUUCAGGGCAAAGUAUGGUGUGAAAGAUGAAUGGGUAAUGCCCUUUGAUAUUGUACCGAUCAUUGAUAUUCCAGAAUAUGGAGAUAGGGCAGCUGAAAAAGUUUGCAUGGAUUUGAAAAUUAAGAGCCAAAAUGAGAAAGAGAAGCUUGCUGAAGCAAAGAGGUUAACCUACCUGAGAGGAUUCACAGAGGGGACAAUGCUUGUUGGUGAAUUUGCAGGGAGAAAAGUCCAGGAAGCAAAGCCAUUGAUUAGGGCCAAGCUCAUUGAGAUUGGUGAGGCAGUUAUGUAUAGUGAACCUGAGAAGCGGGUUGUGUCAAGGUCUGGUGAUGAAUGUGUUGUGGCACUUACUGACCAAUGGUACAUUACAUAUGGGGAAGAAGAAUGGAAGAAAUUGGCUGAAGAAUGCUUAUCCGAUAUGAAUCUCUACUGUGAUGAGACACGACAUGGUUUUGAGCACACAUUGAGCUGGUUAAAUCAGUGGGCUUGUUCACGAUCUUUUGGGCUUGGGACUCGCAUUCCCUGGGAUAAAGAUUUCCUUGUUGAAUCCUUGUCUGAUUCCACUAUCUACAUGGCUUAUUACACUGUUGCUCACCUGCUUCAUAAUGAUGACAUGUAUGGUACAAACAAGCCUCAUCCUAUUCAGUCUGAGCAAAUGACUGAUGAGGUCUGGGAUUUUAUCAUCUGUGGUGGUCCAUACCCCAAAUCAUCUACUAUACCUUCAUCUACACUAGAUAAGAUGAAGCAGGAAUUUGAAUAUUGGUACCCAUUUGAUCUUCGAGUCUCUGGUAAGGACCUCAUACAGAAUCAUUUGACAUUCAGCAUUUACAACCAUACUGCAAUCAUGGCCAAGCACCAUUGGCCUCGUGGAUUCAGGUGUAAUGGGCACAUUAUGCUCAAUUCUGAAAAGAUGAGCAAGUCUACUGGAAAUUUUAGGACAAUUCGGCAAGCUAUUGAGGAAUUCUCUGCUGAUGCAACACGAUUUUCUCUUGCUGAUGCUGGGGAUGGUGUUGAUGAUGCGAACUUUGUAUUUGAAACUUCAAAUGCUGCAAUCCUCCGCCUCACUAAAGAGAUUUCAUGGAUGGAGGAGGUUUUGGCUGCAGAAUCAUCUCUGAGAACAGGUCCCCCAUCUACUUAUGCUGAUCAAGUGUUUGCAAAUGAGAUGAAU